GCCUGGGUGGCUCAGUCGGUGGAGCAUCCGACUUCAACUCAGGUCACGAUCUCGCGGUCCGUGAGUUCGAGCCCCGCGUCGGGCU
rnacentral:tRNA from 1 species